rnacentral:rRNA from 1 species
UACGGAGGGUGCAAGCGUUAAUCGGAAUUACUGGGCGUAAAGCGUGCGUAGGUGGCGUGUUAAGUCAGAUGUGAAAGCCCUGGGCUUAACCUGGGAACGGCAUUUGAAACUGGCAAGCUAGAGUUGAGUAGAGGGGGGCGGAAUUUCCGGUGUAGCGGUGAAAUGCGUAGAUAUCGGAAGGAACACCCGUGGCGAAGGCGGCUCCCUGGACUCAAACUGACGCUGAGGUACGAAAGCGUGGGUAGCAAACAGG